rnacentral:rRNA from 1 species
GAUGAACGCUGGCGGCGUGCCUAAUACAUGCAAGUCGAGCGAAUGGAUUAAGAGCUUGCUCUUAUGAAGUUAGCGGCGGACGGGUGAGUAACACGUGGGUAACCUGCCCAUAAGACUGGGAUAACUCCGGGAAACCGGGGCUAAUACCGGAUAACAUUUUGAACCGCAUGGUUCGAAAUUGAAAGGCGGCUUCGGCUGUCACUUAUGGAUGGACCCGCGUCGCAUUAGCUAAUUGGUGGGGUAACGGCUCACCAAGGCAACGAUGCGUAGCCGACCUGGGAGGGUGAGCGGCCACACUGGGACUGAGACACGGCCCAGACUCCUACGGGAGGCAGCAGUAGGGAAUCUUCCGCAAUGGACGAAAGUCUGACGGAGCAACGCCGCGUGAGUGAUGAAGGCUUUCGGGUCGUAAAACUCUGUUGUUAGGGAAGAACAAGUGCUAGUUGAAUAAGCUGGCACCUUGACGGUACCUAACCAGAAAGCCACGGCUAACUACGUGCCAGCCGCCGCAGUAA